rnacentral:rRNA from 1 species
AUCUGAAGGAAUACCGGUGGCGAAGGCGGCCCCCUGGACAGAUACUGACACUCAGAUGCGAAAGCGUGGGGAGCAAACGAAAGCGUGGGGAGCAAACCUUAUACAUUACCCUGGUAGUCCACGCCGUAAACGAUGUCUACUUGGAGGUUGUGGCCUUGAGCCGUGGCUUUCGGAGCUAACGCGUUAAGUAGACCGCCUGGGGAGUACGGUCGCAAGAUUAAAACUCAAAUGAAUUGACGGGGGCCCGCACAAGCGGUGGAGCAUGUGGUUUAAUUCGAUGCAACGCGAAGAACCUUACCUACUCUUGACAUCCAGAGAACUUUCCAGAGAUGGAUUGGUGCCUUCGGGAACUCUGAGACAGGUGCUGCAUGGCUGUCGUCAGCUCGUGUUGUGAAAUGUUGGGUUAAGUCCCGCAACGAGCGCAACCCUUAUCCUUGUUUGCCAGCGAGUAAUGUCGGGAACUCCAGGGAGACUGCCGGUGAUAAACCGGAGGAAGGUGGGGACGACGUCAAGUCAUCAUGGCCCUUACGAGUAGGGCUACACACGUGCUACAAUGGCGCAUACAGAGGGCGGCCAACUUGCGAAAGUGAGCGAAUCCCAAAAAGUGCGUCGUAGUCCGGAUUGGAGUCUGCAACUCGACUCCAUGAAGUCGGA